UAAUCGCGCCCUCAUUUCCCAAAAUUUUCCUCUCUCUUCAGACGCUCCAUGUACUGCUACAAUGACUACAGAAAUUCCAAAAGAACACGCGCCGCUGCGCUGGCGCAUGCGCCACCGGUGGACCUUCAAAGACCGCACGACCAAAGCCAAAUGGGGCGCAUGAAGAUGGCAACAAACUCCAAUAUGGCACGCACCAUGAUUCAUCUCUAAAUUCGUCGAAUUCGCAAGAUACAGACGCGAUGAAUGCUGCAUUUUCGGAGAUGGAGUUCGAUCGAGCACGAGAAAAUAUUUCCCAAGACGUGAUGGCUUGGAAUCAAGGAAAAAUGGUUGAAGAUAUCGAUUCUACCACUCCUGAUAUACACCCUACCAAAAAAUCAAUUCAUUCCAUCGUCCCAAUUGAGAGAAAUCAAGAGGCGAUUUUCGAAUGAAUCGCGAAUGAGCCACCAGAAAUCCUUACUCAAUUUCGAACAACUUCGAGCCAAAAUCGUAAUGAAUUAAGUACUGGGGUUUCUUCCCCUGAUGAAGGCGCCCAUCUCACAAAAAUUUCAGUUGAAACGGAGGAAUCACCGGCGGAGGGAAUUCCGGUGAAACUCGAGUUCUAACCACCGGAAACCAUGGAAAAUCGACGACGGGAACUAAUUUGCAAGCUAUUGAUAGACAUUUUAAUGUAGGAAACACAACUAACACUUCUUCAAUUCAUUACAAGCAAGGAAGGGCAUGAAAAUGAAGAAACUGAGUCGAGUGCUAGUCAAAGUGCAGGUCGCUCAGCUGAAGCAAUAGCAAUCAUCAAUGGAAACAAAGUUCAACAUGGGAAACAAUUAACUGAUGCCACCAGGAACAAAGCAACUUCUUCAGCUGAUGCUCAAUCAGCCAAUUUCUCCUUUGGCAUUACAGAUAACUCCUGUGACCUAACUCCUAACUUUAAUUCUGAUAAUUUGCAGAUCAUACCAUGUCAAGAGAACAGAGGUGAGGAAUAUGGGCAAAGGCAACCUCAAAACAAGAAACAAUCAAUUCAGCAGCAACAACCUCCAAACAAGGAUUUGCAACAACAAAGAAAGGUAUACAAUUGCAAUUCUGGUAUUUCGCAGGUACUACCAAAUCAGGAGAACAUUGGUGAGGAAUAUGGGCAAAGGCAAGCUCAAAAGAAUGAGCAAUCAACUCAGCACCAGCAGCUUCCAAGCAAAGAUUUGCAGCAACAAAGAAAUGCUCACAAUGAGAAUGGAACGGAACAUGAAAAAAAAAUAAAAGACAACAAAAAGACCAGCUUAAGGAUAACAGUCAACAAUAAGUAACAAAUUCUUCUUAUCAAGCCAAUAAAGUAAACAUGGAUUAUCAACACGACUUCCCAAAGAUCUCCAACAACUUCACUAGGUAUGGUCCUAACUCUCAACUAGAUAGAAACAAUAAACAGGGUAACAAUGUGGAGCAAGGAAAUGCUAGACCUCCUAUCAGUCACCAACAGGGGCAAAACACAAGUAAUAAUGCUAAACAGGACAAGGCUAGUGAACCUGCUCCAUACACUGUAGUUCAAUCCUUUGCAGCCCGCUUGAGGUAUAAUCAAUCUAAGAAUGAGAUUCCAAUUGUGUUGAAUGACCCCAUACAUACAACUAGACAAGGGUACCCUGCUGUGCUCUUAGAUGAGCAUGACUAUUAUGUGAAAUUAGCUGAAUGUUGUAAAUAUACGCUUGUGGGGAAAUUCACCAAUACAAUGCCUAAAAUGGAGUUGGUUAGAAAGAGUUUCACCCUUCAAACUCAACUUACUGGGUGUGUGUGUGUGAAGAUUACUCACUUUAACUCUAGGCAUGUGUAUAUUGAUCUAGAUAAUGAAUUCGACUAUCAAACUGUUUGGACAAAAUUGAGGAUGACUAUUGAAGGGCAUUUGAUGAGAAUUCAAGCUUGGACCCCUGAUUUUACCCCCGAGGAAUAAACACCUAUUGUUCCUAUUUGGGUUGUAGUGCCAGGAUUACCAUGGCAUUGUUAUAAUAAAGUUCUUUUGACUACUAUCUUGGAAUCUGUUGGGAAUGUUUUAUAUCUUGAUUACCCAACUUCUUAAAGGACUAGAGGUAGCACAACAAGGGUGAAAGUUCAAGUUGAUCUCACUAAAAAAAGAAAAGGCCUGAACAUGUAUGGUUGGGUUUCAAAAAUUCUGACCCCAACAAGGGGAGAUGGUUGAAGGUUCAAUAUGAAGGUAUCCCCGACUAUUGUAUGUAUUGUAAACAUCAAGGGCAUAUGGAUUAUGAUUGCACUGUAAAAAGAAGAGAUGAAGAUGUGAACAGGAUGAAAGAAAUGGAGUCUGAAAAAAACAACAAGAAGUCAAAAGGAGAUCAGCAACAAGGUGGAGAUGGAAUAGAGGAAAAUGUUAAGCAAAUUCAUAAAGGAAACCACCAAGAUGGAAAACAGCAAGAGACAAGAAAUCAGGGUCAGAGAAAUUAUGAUCAACAACUUUCAGAAAAUGAGGAGCAGUGGCAGACACAAAGAAGAAACAAUCAAAGAAUUUGGAGCAAGCUCAACCCAAAACAGCAUGGAGAGCACGUUCACCAUAACACAAGGAAAUCAGUGAUAAUAGGCAGCGGGCAGCAGGAACAGGCUGUUCAAGAGCUACAUGUGGACACAUCAGGAAAAGAAGGUGCUGCUGACAGUAAUAUCCAACAAAUCCAAGAGCCAAAUACUGCCUCACCAUCAACAACUCAAUGAACCAAUGUCCAAGAGCUGCAGAUAGACAUUUCAGAAAAGAAAGGUGAUGCAGACAAAAUACCCAACAAAAUCAAGAAACUAAUAUUGUUUCACCAUCAACAACUCAAAGAAAAAAGGUGAAGCAACAUCAAACACAAGACACACAUGCUAAUAAGAACAAGAGAACAAGUAUUGACUUAUCUCUCCCCAUACCCCAGCAACCCACAAUAACUGUUGUUGAAAAUGUUUUGAUUGUUGGGUUGGUUGUUGAAGUUGAUGGAGGUAUGAAUGGGGGGUGUCAGGAGAAGCUUACUAAUCUGUAGGAAGGGGUGUCCAAAGGGGAAAAAAAAAUUCUGGAAUUUGAUCACAAUGACCAUAGGAGAGAACUUAGAGCCUCAGAAAGUAAGUCUCCAAACUCCAGCAAUCAGGAAUUUCAGAAAAUUUUCAGUCAAAGGCAAAGAUAUGAAUCUGAUCAGAAUUUGGAAAGAGCUGAAAAUCAAGAAACAGGGGGUAAAAAUACUGCUGGUGGUCAACAUCAGCCUACUGGUAAUUCUGAGGAUCAGCAGCAGCAGGGUGAUAAAAUUCCUGUCGAAAAACAAAACAAUAGAUCACAAGGCAGACCUAGCAAAAAGAAAAGAGAAGCAAUUAAAAGAAGAAAUCAAAGAGAGGUAGGUCUGCAGGGUGUUAAUGAGCAGGUUCAAAGAGAAAAUAAGUCUCCAAAACAGUACCAUGGGAACUCAAAUUAUGAAGUAAUAAAUUCAGAAGAUGAAUUUAAUGAGGAUACUCAUUCUUCAAAUGAGAAGAAGGGAGAAGAGGAUGGGGAUGAAAAUAGCGCGCACUUGAUCAAGGCAUUUGGUUCUACAAUCCAAAGUGAGUUUGAAUCUGAAAUCCAUGAAGCCACUAACCAAUAAGGUUUAUCUCCAAGGGGCAGAAAGGAAGUCAGACAAUACAACAACACCAUUACAACAAGCACAUCUGCUAAUACUAGCAGACCCAACACCAGGUCCCGAAUGAUCAAUACAAUAUGUUGGAAUGCUAGGAGCAUCAACGCCCAAUGAUCUUUGGAAAGACUUCAAAAUCUCAAGAAAAUGCAUAAUUUCUCUAUGAUAGCUAUUCUUGAACCAUUUGCAGAUAAUUCUCAACUCAACAAGUACAAGCUUCUUUUGUCUAUGGAUAAUGCUCUUUGUAAUGGUAAUGGCAAAAAUUUGGCUGUUUUGGACCAAUAAUAUGGAGUGUGAUACUUUGGAAAUUCAUGAUCAACAUAUCACUUGUUGGGCCAAACAUGUUGGACACAGUGAGAAAUUUAUUAUUUCUCUUAUUUAUGCUAAGUGUAAGGAACACCUACGAAGACCUCUUUGGGAAAGACUUUAUCAUAUUUCCAAUAUGGACAGCCCAUGGUGCACGAUUGGAGACUUUAACGUCAUUACAUCAACAGAUGAAAAAUAUGGUGGCAUGCCCUAUAAUAUGAACAAAAUCCUGGAAUUUAUUGAUAUCAUUGAGGCUUGUGGUAUCAUGGACAUAGGCUUCAGUGGUCAACAUUACACUUGGUGUAAUCAAAGAUCCGGUGAAGCAAGAGUGUGGAAAAGAUUGGACCGAGCUAUGGUCAAUGAUACAUGGUUGUGAUGUAUGUUACAAACUACUACCUCUCACCUUCCUGCUGUAGGCUCGGAUCAUUGCCCAUUAUUAAUGGAAAUGGAGGUGAGAAUAGACGAAAAAGUCAAACACUUCAAGUUUUUGCACUGUUGGCCUGAAAAUGAAAAAUUCAACGAUAUUGUGCAAAGCUCUUGGCAAGAGGAAGUAAGUGGUGACCCUAUGAGGAAACUCUAUUAGAAAACAAAGAAAUUGACUUCUACUUUGAGUAAUUGGUCUAAGAGUGAAUAUGGCAACAUCUUUUCCAUGGUUAUAGAUUUUGAAGAACAAGUUAAAAUGCGAAGGAGAGGGUAAUACAUAAUAAUUCAGAGGAGAACAAAGUCAAGCUUCAUCUUAUUAAUGCUCAAUACAUCAAAUAAAUGAAGUUGGAAGCUUCCAUUCUCAAGCAAAAAACUCAGCUCCAAUGGUUCAAAUAAGGGGAUACCAAUUCCAAAUACUUUCACUCCAUUAUGAGGGGAAGGAGGAGGAAGUUGUUUAUCCACAAGGUUUGCACAAAUGAUGAUACUUGCAUACAGGGAGAUGAGAACAUUGCCAAAGAAGCUUGUAGGUACUUUAAAAAUAUUUUCACUGGGAAAUCAGACAGAAUCAGUGAGGAAGUUCUCAACUGUGUUCCCCGGAUGGUUACAAAUAAACAGAACCAACUUCUUCGACAAAUGCCUAAUAUGGAGGAAUUAAAACAAGUUGUUUUCUCCAUGAAUCCUAACUCUGCUCUAGGUUCGGAUGGGUUUGGAAGGAAAUUUUAUCAGUCAUGUUGGGAUAUUAUUAAGGAAGAUGUUCUAAAAGUUGUGCGACAUUUUUACUGUGGAAAUAUUAUGCCUAAAUAUUUUUCACAUGCUUGUCUUUUCCUUCUUCCGAAGAUUGAUCAUCCUAACAAAUUUUCAGAGUUCAUACCCAUCAGCUUGAGUAACUUCUCCAACAAAAUCAUUUCCAAGAUUCUUUGUUUCAGAUUAGCAGGCAUUCUGCCUCAGUUUAUUUCUGAGAAUCAGUCGGGAUUUGUUAAGGGAAGAAGUAUUUCGGAAAACAUUAUGUUUGCUCAAGAGAUCACUGCACAUUAUCAAACAAACCAAUGAAGGUGACAAUGUGGUAAUUAAACUCGAUAUGACCAACGCAUACCAUAGAGUGUCAUGGUCGUAUACUUGUUUGGUUUUGCGAAGAAUGGGUUUUUGUGAGAUUUUUAUUGACCUUGUGUGGAGAAUAAUGAGCAACAACUGGUAUUCUGUUAUUAUUAAUGGGUCCAGGCAUGGUUGUUUAAAGUCAGUAAGGGGUCUCAAACAGGGUGAUCCAUUAUCUCCGUCCUUAUUUAUUUUAAGGGCGGAGGUGCUAUCUCAGAUGCUUAAUAUGCUUCAUCAACAACAGAAUUACAAGAAUUUUCAAAUGGAAAGUAGAGACCCACAGAUUAAUCAUCUCAACUUUGCGGAUGAUAUCAUUAUCUUCUCUUCCACCACUAGAGAUACUCUUCAUAUGAUCAUGAAAACUCUUGCCACAUAUGAGUCUGUUUCAGAUCAACUCAUAAACAAAGACAAGAGUCAUUUCAUGGUCCCUUCGAAAUCUCCUACAGAGGUCAUCAAUUUAAUUGGAGAGAUAACAGGUUUCACUCAGAAAAAAAGCCCCAUUACCUACCUAGGGUGCCCCCUAUUCAUGGGUGUGAAGUGCACCACAUGUAAAGAGAGGAAGGCUUUGAAGUGUUUUAGGAAAAAACAUUAUUUUUCUUGUUACUCUUAUUGUGUGUAAGGUAUAAUCAAAUUCCAUUCUAACUUGACGUUGUGCGCUUAAGAUCAUGCCUUCUUGUAGAGCUUAGGCAUGUAAUUCUAAUGCACGCAAUGCUAACGGAGUUCCUCUAAUACCAGAUAAGGAAGUUCAAAUGCAAAGUUUCAGAAUGCCAAUUCAGCUUUUGGCUCAGAGUAUGACCAACCAGAACAAUCAGCAGGUUCUAGUUCCUACUAAAAGAAAUGACCGAUUAGUGGCAGCCAGAGUUUGUUAUUUUGUUAGGAUGAAAUCCACCUAUGUUUUUAGGGUCGCAAGUUGGUAAUGACCCAUAGAAGUUCAUUGAUAAGGUCAAGAAAUUAUUUGAAAUAAAGUCAGUAACUGGUAGUGAUAGGUGAGAUUGGCAUCCUUCAAACUCAAGGAUGUGAAUCACAUAUGCUUCACUCAAUGGAAAGACAAAA